GACGAACGCUGGCGGCGUGCUUAACACAUGCAAGUCGAACGAAGUGGGAACGGGUGAGUAAUACGUGGGUAACCUCCCUCCUUUUUGGGAUAAGCCUUGGAAACGGGGUCUAAACCUAAUAGAUGGGCUCGCGGCCUAUCAGCUUGUUGGUGGGGUGAUGGCCUACCAAGGCGGUGACGGGUAUCCGGCCUGAGAGGGUGACCGGUCACAUUGGGACGUGUACACGGCCCAGACUCCUACGUGAGGCCGCAGUCGGGAAUCUUCCGCAAUGGACGAAAGUCUGACGGAGCAACGCCGCGUUAGUGAUUACGGCCUUCGUGUUGUAAAGCUCUGUUAAUCGGGACGCAGUACCGGAAUAGAAAGCCACGGCUAACUACGUGCCAGCAGCCGCGGUAAUUG
rnacentral:rRNA from 1 species